UACGAAGGGUGCAAGCGUUACUCGGAAUUACUGGGCGUAAAGCGUGCGUAGGUGGUUCGUUAAGUCUGAUGUGAAAGCCCUGGGCUCAACCUGGGAAUGGCAUUGGAAACUGGCGACCUAGAGUGCGGUAGAGGGUAGUGGAAUUCCCGGUGUAGCAGUGAAAUGCGUAGAGAUCGGGAGGAACAUCCGUGGCGAAGGCGACUACCUGGACCAGCACUGACACUGAGGCACGAAAGCAUGGGGAGCAAACAGG
rnacentral:rRNA from 1 species